rnacentral:rRNA from 1 species
AACGUAGGAUCCGAGCGUUGUCCGGAAUCACUGGGUGUAAAGGGUGCGUAGGCGGGCUUGCGCGUCAAGGGUUAAAGACCUCGGCUCAACCGAGGGAAUGCCCUUGAUACGGCAGGUCUUGAGUGCGGGAGAGGAAGGUGGAAUUCCUGGUGUAGCGGUGAAAUGCGUAGAGAUCAGGAGGACCACCGAAGGCGAAGGCAGCCAUCUGGACCGCCACUGACGCUGAGGCACGAAAGCGUGGGGAGCAAACAGG